CCUACGGGAGGCAGCAGUGGGGAAUCUUAGACAAUGGGGGCAACCCUGAUCUAGCCAUGCCGCGUGAGUGAUGAAGGCCUUAGGGUCGUAAAGCUCUUUCGCCUGUGAUGAUAAUGACAGUAGCAGGUAAAGAAACCCCGGCUAACUCCGUGCCAGCAGCCGCGGUAAUACGGAGGGGGUUAGCGUUGUUCGGAAUUACUGGGCGUAAAGCGCGCGUAGGCGGACUAGAAAGUUGGGGGUGAAAUCCCGGGGCUCAACCUCGGAACUGCCUCCAAAACUGCUAGUCUAGAGUUCGAGAGAGGUGAGUGGAAUUCCGAGUGUAGAGGUGAAAUUCGUAGAUAUUCGGAGGAACACCAGUGGCGAAGGCGGCUCACUGGCUCGAUACUGACGCUGAGGUGCGAAAGUGUGGGGAGCAAACAGGAUUAGAUACCCUGGUAGUCCACACCGUAAACGAUGAAUGCCAGUCGUCGGGUAGUAUACUAUUCGGUGACACACCUAACGGAUUAAGCAUUCCGCCUGGGGAGUACGGUCGCAAGAUUAAAACUCAAAGGAAUUGACGG
rnacentral:rRNA from 1 species